GUUAAUGUAGCUUAACCAUAAAGCAAGGCACUGAAAAUGCCUAGAUGAGUUUUCAUAAACUCCAUAAACA
rnacentral:tRNA from 1 species